UACAGAGGUCCCAAGCGUUUGUUCGGAUUCACUGGGCGUAAAGGGUGCGUAGGCGGUUUGAUAAGUCUGAUGUGAAAUCCCGCAGCUUAACUGCGGAACUGCAUUGGAAACUGUUUGACUAGAGGAAUGGAGGGGAGACUGGAAUACUUGGUGUAGCAGUGAAAUGCGUAGAUAUCAAGUGGAACACCAGUGGCGAAGGCGAGUCUCUGGACAUUUUCCUGACGCUGAGGCACGAAAGCCAGGGGGAGCAAACGGGG
rnacentral:rRNA from 1 species